rnacentral:rRNA from 1 species
UACGGAGGGGGCUAGCGUUGUUCGGAAUUACUGGGCGUAAAGGGCGCGCAGGCGGCUCUGAAAGUCAGAUGUGAAAGCCCCGGGCUUAACCUGGGAAUUGCAUUUGAUACUCUGGAGCUUGAGUGUGGGAGAGGAGAGUGGAAUUCCCAGUGUAGAGGUGAAAUUCGUAGAUAUUGGGAAGAACACCGGUGGCGAAGGCGGCUCUCUGGACCACAACUGACGCUGAGGCGCGAAAGCGUGGGGAGCAAACAGG